rnacentral:rRNA from 1 species
AGGACGAACGCUGGCGGCGUGCUUAACACAUGCAAGUCGAGCGGUAAGGCCCUUCGGGGUACACGAGCGGCGAACGGGUGAGUAACACGUGAGCAAUCUGCCCUCCACAUCGGGAUAACCCCCGGAAACGGGAGCUAAUACCGGAUACGACCACUUCAGGAAUCUGAUGGUGGUGGAAAGUUCUGGCGGUGGAGGAUGAGCUCGCGGCCUAUCAGCUUGUUGGUGGGGUAAUGGCCCACCAAGGCUUCGACGGGUAGCCGGCCUGAGAGGGUGACCGGCCACACUGGGACUGAGACACGGCCCAGACUCCUACGGGAGGCAGCAGUGGGGAAUAUUGGACAAUGGGCGAAAGCCUGAUCCAGCAACGCCGCGUGAGGGAUGACGGCCUUCGGGUUGUAAACCUCUUUCAGCAGGGACGAAGCGAAGUGACGGUACCUGCAGAAGAAGCACCGGCCAACUACGUGCCAGCAGCCGC